CUAGGGAAAUAUCCAAACUGUGGCCUCCAAUUUUAUUUUUCUUUAACCUGUUCAUCUGGUAUUUCCUCAUGAUUAGAUUUAGGUUAUUAGAUUUAGGUAAUUAGAUUCCUCCCUUUUGGCAGGAAUACCACAGAAGUGAUGUCAUACCCAUUUCAGUGCAUCAUAUCUGGAGCUACAAAAUGACUGCUGUUUGCUUGUGUCUCUUUGGGAAAAUUAUAUAAGAGUUCCUUAUUCUCCUGGAACAGGCAAACUCAGGACAGGAUACACAGCAUGCUAAGAGAACAAGACAAACUCCAUCUUGGCUCUUUCACUGGCAGCCUCUUCCUCAAGGACUUAACUUGUGCAAGCUGACUCCCAGCACAUCCAAGAAUGCAAUUAACGGAUAAGAUACUGUGGCGAGCUAUAUCCGCAGUGCCCAAGAAUUCGUCUGAUUGAUAACGCCCAAAGCCCUGUGUCUAUCACCUUGUAAUAGUCUUAAAGCCCCUGCACCUGGAACUGUUUACUUUCCUGUAACCAUUUAUCCUUUUACCUUUUUGACUACUUAACUUCUGUAAAAUUGUUUUAACUAGACCCCCCGCCCCCCUUCCUAAACCAAGAUGUAAAAGUUAAUCAAGCCCCUUUCUUGGGGCCAAAUUUUGAGCGUUAGCCGUCUCUCGGUCGCUGGCUAAUAAAGGACUUUUAAUUCAU
rnacentral:lncRNA from 1 species